rnacentral:rRNA from 1 species
AUGGGGAGGCAGCGGCGGUGGUCACGCGCGGCGCUCCUCGCGUGCCUGCUGCUCCUCGCCGCCGCGUGCGCCGAGUCGGCGCGCCCGGGGCCGCUGGCAGCGGCGAGCGAAGGGCUGCCUCGCGGCGCGAGCGUGAGCGCUGACGACAGCGGCGGCGACGGCCCGCGGAGGAGCGCGUUCGACGUGCUGGUGGAGGGCCUCGUCAGCAUCGGGCUGGGCCGGCGGUGGCGCGCCGGCGACGGCGUCGGGCUGGUGGACGGCGACAAGCGGCGCGUGCCGACGGGGCCCAACCCGCUGCACAACAGAUGA